ACUCCUACGGGAGGCAGCAGUGGGGAAUCUUGCGCAAUGGGCGAAAGCCUGACGCAGCAACGCCGCGUGCGGGAUGAAGGCCUUCGGGUUGUAAACCGCUUUCAGCAGGGACGAAAAUGACGGUACCUGCAGAAGAAGCCCCGGCUAACUACGUGCCAGCAGCCGCGGUAAU
rnacentral:rRNA from 1 species